UUCGAGACGGNUCCAGAAUGGUCACUCUUUGGACACUCGUAUACAGGUGGUGCAUGGUUGUCGUCAGCUCGUGUCGUGAGAUGUUGGGUUAAGUCCCGCAACGAGCGCAACCCUCGUUUCUAUGUUGCCAGCACGUUAAUGGUGGGAACUCAUGGGAUACUGCCGGGGUCAACUCGGAGGAAGGUGGGGAUGACGUCAAAUCAUCAUGCCCCUUAUGUCUUGGGCUUCACNCNUGCUACAAUGGCCGGUACAAAGGGCUGCAAUACCGCGAGGUGGAGCGAAUCCCAAAAAGCCGGUCCCAGUUCGGAUUGAGGUCUGCAACUCGACCUCAUGAAGUCGGAGUCGCUAGUAAUCGCAGAUCAGCAACGCUGCGGUGAAUACGUUCCCGGGCCUUGUACACACCGA
rnacentral:rRNA from 1 species